rnacentral:rRNA from 1 species
GAGUUUGAUCUUGGCUCAGGAUGAACGCUGGCGGCGUGCUUAACACAUGCAAGUCGAACGAUGAUCCCAGCUUGCUGGGGGAUUAGUGGCGAACGGGUGAGUAACACGUGAGUAACCUGCCCUUGACUCUGGGGAUAAGCCUGGGAAACUGGGUCUAAUACCGGAUAUGACCUUCCAUCGCAUGGUGGUUGGUGGAAAGCUUUUGUGGUUUUGGAUGGACUCGCGGCCUAUCAGCUUGUUGGUGAGGUAAUGGCUUACCAAGGCGACGACGGGUAGCCGGCCUGAGAGGGUGACCGGCCACACUGGGACUGAGACACGGCCCAGACUCCUACGGGAGGCAGCAGUGGGGAAUAUUGCACAAUGGGCGCAAGCCUGAUGCAGCGACGCCGCGUGAGGGAUGACGGCCUCGG